rnacentral:lncRNA from 1 species
CCUUGAAUAUCAAAGAAUGUGGAAUUGGUGGCAGCAACAAGAACAGGAACCCAUUUUUGAUAAUAUGUAAAAGUUGGCAUAAUAACCCACAUCAUUAAAUUCCCAAGAAAUAUUGUAAGUGCUAAAGCUAAUAUUGCUCCUUGUAUCAUUCUAAUUUUUCCAUCAGAAAUUGAUGAUGAUCUCUUAUUCAUCACCUCCAUUUUUCUUGUAACAAAUUAGUUUUUGUUUAAUAUUAGAAAUAUAUAGCAAAUAAGUGUUUACAAGUUGUAUGCUAUAAAUAAGCAAAAUUUGUAUGGGAUGCUGACUUGACAAGAUUAUUGCACCUCUCAAUGGUCUAGUGAUCUUGUCUUCCUAGGGCCCCAUUUUCCAUAUAUUUUUCAUUUUUUCAUUUUUUUUCACCUAACUUUCAAUUUUUUUUACUAAAUAUUUGAGUAAAAGUUAUAUAAAUCAUCAGCGUUAUCAGAUCACUUAAAAUAUAUUUCACAAGUAAAAUAGCUAUGGUGAAUGUAUACAUGGCAUAUAUAUCAUUUUAGUUCGAUUUGUAUCUAACACCCUAACCAAAUGCAAUAUAUUUUUAGUUACUACUUUUGUAAAUAUAUAUUUUCUUUUAGCAAUUACUAAUUAAAGAUUGUUUUGUUGGAUUUCUUAAUGACAAAAUGUAGAAAGUAUUAAAACACAUAUUUAAAAGCAAACCAUUUUUUAAAAAGAUCUUUUGGCUUUAGUUUUGUACCAUGAAUCUUGUGGUUGUUGCCUUAGAUUUUCUCUCUUUUGUUUAUUUUUUAAUUUUAUGAUAUUGUUGCAGCUUGGCUAUGGGAGAGUAGGUAUAACAGUAUCAUAAAAAUAUGUAAAAAUAAAGAAAUACACUAUAUAUAUAUAAAAGUGAACUUGUGGCCUUAUCCUGCUUUAAGAAAAAAAAAGAACACAAUACAAAAAGAUUGCAGGAUAAAGUAAAUUAGUGGUAGACAGGGGUUGUACUCCAUAUAUAAUUAAUAUAUAGUUCUCCAUAGUUUCUUCUACUAUAAAAUAUUUUAGUAAGUUUAAGUUUUGCCGAUAUUUUAUCCACUUCAGAUUUUACUGUGUAGAAUUAUAUUGAAAUGUUAUUAUUGAGGUAAGGUUAAUGACUUUUAAAAAGUAUAGUAUACCUAAAAUCAACAUGAUUGAAAUAGAUUCUCAACUUAUUAGUAUCAUCUUCACAAAAAAGAAAAAAAUCAAUUAUUUCUUUUUUUUGCUAAACUUGUAUUGAUUUCACCAUAUAAUUAAUAUGCUGUCAUUCAAGACAAUUUCCUUUCAUGUGUGUUUAGGCUUAUUCUAUUUCUUUUUAGUACAUCUUCACUUACUAUGCAUAUUUUCACAUCUAUGGACCAUUCUAUCAAAAGGUCGAUGCAAACUAUGAUUAAACCAUCUCAAUCUAAAUAUUCUCUCUUGAUAGAGUGCAUAAUAUUCUAAUUUUUCCAUAGUUGUAUUUCCAAAUACACUGCUUAUUUUUGAAUAUUUGUACUUCAAAAUUAGGCAACUCUAAAUAUAAUAGUAUCUAUCUCUCCGGUGAUAUAAGAUCCGUUAUUGAAUCAAUCCUUAAUUUCGUUUCUUUUUAUUGUCAUAAAAAUGUCUAAUUCGAUUAGUAAGUCAAUUCAAUCUUCUUGACUUUAUUUAUAUUCAGCUUCAUAUUUUGCUUUUUGUCCUUCAAAAUGGUAGCGAUAUCAAAUCAUAAUAUUAAACUCGACUACCACAUAACCUACCAACGUUUGAGUAGGAACACAUAGUAAUGAAAAUCAAAGCUCCCCAAAACUACAUGAAUUCUAUCUUUUAAUAUAAUUCAGGUCUUACUUAAAUGUAUGUAUGGUUGGUAAUUAAUAAUUAAUUCCUCAUCAAGCAUUUUCAAUUUCAUAAUUGUACUAAUUGACCUUUGUUUCAGUUGGAAGUGUCUAGAGGCCUCUACUUCUGUUGACAAGUCAUUUGCCACCAAAAAAAGAUUUCUAAUCACUUGUCCUACCACUGAAGAGAAUGUAAUAAAUAAUAGUAAUUUUCUUUAAAGUAAAAAAUAAUUCAAGCAAAUGAUUUGUACAUCUUGUUAUUUUUAUACUCCAUAUAACUAGGGGAAGUUGAAAAUCAUUAUGGUCAAAAAGGAAAUUUUACUAUUUCUAAACAAAACAUAAAAUUAGAUUGUACUUCACAUAAACUAAUUCAUUUUCUUUGUUUUUGACUCUUUACCUAAUUAUAAUUUCUUGUUGCCAUCUCAUCUACAUCAACCUUCCUUUGUUCAUUUUCAACCUAUAUUCAUUUGACAACUUUCAAAAACUCAAACCAACCAACCUACAUACAUCUCUUUUCUUUUUUUGUUAAUAUUUUCAACCAACUAACCAUGUUAAUUCAUUCCUUCAAUGUUAAUGUCUUUAUCAUCACUUAUGAUACAUGUCAUAUACAUAAUUAUACAUCAUAUAUACAUGAUUAUACACUAUUCAUAUAAUAUAAAUACAUUAAUAAUAGGGAAAAUUACAAGUAUAAGCAAACAUAUACUAGUUAAUUACUUAACAUAGCUAUAGUUUGUCUUAAUUACAAUUCACAACCUACUUUUAGUUAUAAUUACGCGGCUCAGCUUUUUAAUUUUGUAUAAUUCGCAUGUUUGUAUAAUUCGGAAUUUGUAUAAUAUAAUUUGUAUAACUUUUGUAUAAUUUGAAAUUUGUAUAAUAUAAUUUGUAUAAAUUUUUACACUUCUGAAGUUUGUAAUUGUAUAAAUUCGUUAUUUCGAGUUAAUACAAAAAAUAACUAAAUUAUACAAAUGUGCCCACGAAUUAUACAAACCUGCGAAUUAUACAAAUCCGCAAAUUAUACAAACGAGGCAGCUUAAACUGUAGCUACAUCCAGUAAAUAUGCAAACUAUAGCUAUGUAACAUAAUUAAGUUUAUUAUAGUGGCUAUUUGCCAAAGUUUCUCAUAAUAAUAAUAAGCCUCAUCCUCUUGGACUCGGGUUGGGCUAUUGUGGGUAAAUUACCCAAGGCGCAACCGGCUGUUAAAUCAUCGUCCCAAUUUUUAUUUAGUCGGCUGAGUAGAGUUGAAUAUAGAGAAAAUUAUAGAAAUCACUAUAGUUCCAUAGCUAAGUAAUUUUAGGAAAAAUUGUUUAAAUACAUAAAUAUUUCUAUCAUAUUUAUUAAUUGUUUCUAUAAUUUGAAAUAAUUAUAUUUUAUCUCACUAAUUAUUAAUUUUUUAUUAAAUUUUAAGUCAUAUACACCUAAAUACAUGUUCUUUUGCUACCCGAUACACUAAAAUUGAGAGAGAAGCGAGCGAGAGUAGGAGAGAGGCAAGUGAAAUUUGUCUAUGUAUCCCAGAUACAUGCGAAUUACACUAAAUACAUAUAUCUAGUGUGAUUCGCAUGUAUCUUGGAUACCAGAUACGCAAGCGAGAUAUGAGAGUGACGAGUGAGAUGGGAGGGAGGCGAAGGAGGCGAGCGAGAUUUUUCUAUGUAUCACAGAUAUAUGCAAAUCCACUUGGAUACAAUAUAUCUACAACAAAUUACACAUAGUUUUGAUCUCGUGUGCGAUGUGUCUAGACACACCAAUUUUUAUUUUAUAAUAUUACAAUUAGCAUGUAUCUUAGUAAUUAACUUCUAAGUUAAUAAUUAAAUGCAACUAGCUCGCUAUUUUGUUUCAAUAUUUAUUACUCAUAGAAAAUAUUUCGCAAGGUUUGUACCAACGAAUACAACCUAUAUAUUAAUGAGGAACUUUCACAUAUAGCCACUCAAAAAUAGCCUAAUUACUCUCCAUAGCUAUAAUUUGAUAAUUACAAUUCGUAGCUACAUGUUAUAGGAAGGAGAGCGGAGAGCGAGACUGGGAGAGAGAGGAGAGAGGCGAGCGAGAAAGAGGAAAGAGUGGGAGAGAGGUGAAUUGUAUAUGUAUAUCGGUUAGAUAAUUGUAUAUUAUACAUAUGUAUUUGUAUAUAUGGAAAGCGAGAUUGGGAGAGGGAGGAGAGAGACGAGNNNNNNNNNNNNNNNNNNNNNNNNNNNNNNNNNNNNNNNNNNNNNNNNNNNNNNNNNNNNNNNNNNNNNNNNNNNNNNNNNNNNNNNNNNNNNNNNNNNNNNNNNNNNNNNNNNNNNNNNNNNNNNNNNNNNNNNNNNNNNNNNNNNNNNNNNNNNNNNNNNNNNNNNNNNNNNNNNNNNNNNNNNNNNNNNNNNNNNNNNNNNNNNNNNNNNNNNNNNNNNNNNNNNNNGGGAGAGAGGUGAAUUGUAUAUGUAUAUCGGUUAGAUAAUUGUAUAUUAUACAUAUGUAUUUGUAUAUUCUGGCGAAUUAUACAUAUACAAACGUGGAUAAUUAUACAAACUCGAAGUCAGCCCACGUAAUUAAUGUAUAUAAUGUUAGUCGCGAGUGGUAAUUAUAACAAACUAUAGCUUUGAUGAGUAAUUAAGUAGUAUAAGUUUGCUUAACUGCGUAAUUUUUCCUAUUUUAUAUAUAAAGAAAAUAUUUAACACUAUUAUUUUUGAUGAAAUUAUUUUCAAAAUGAAAAUUUAAGUUAUAUACUUUUUUAUUUUACUUUUUGAAAAAUAGAUACAAUAGUAUACGUGAAUUUUAUAUUUAUAUAUAUAUAUAUAUAUAUUAUAAGGUGACACCGCUUGCAAAAAUUUAUGCGUAUGCCGCUGAUUGAUUUUUAUUUUGAUUUUGAGGCGCCAAACUUGUUUUGGGUACUCUAAAAAAUAUUUCUCCAAGGUCAUUGAACUCCAAACUGAAAUAUCAGUCAAAGUGUACCACACUUGUUAAAAAUCAACCCACAAUACACCAAAUACUAAAGAGUAAAGUUGUAAAGGACUUUUGGGAGAAUGAGAAGACAAAAAACCAAAAGGUUUUAUUUAAUAACUAAAAAAAGUUAAAAGAAGACCUUUUGUUUUUUUAUCUUAAAAAAGGUCACUUUUGUUCUCUCUUUAAAGAGAAAAACAGAACCAAAAAGAAAUUGAACAAAAAAACCUUAAUCUUUCCAAAAAGUCUAGGCUUGAACCCAGGCCACAAAAGCCUGACAAAAAAAUUAAACAAAAUGCCUAAGCUUGGGCUCGAACACGGAACCUGAAGUAGCUUUGAACACCCUUAGCCGCUGGGCUAUAUUUCUUUAUUGUAUCAAAAGUGUUCAACAAUUUGUAUAUAUCCAAAAAUAUUUCCAACGAAGGUUGUUCAUCUGACCACCAUCGCCAAGGCAUAACUCUGCUCCUGGAUAUGGGAAUAAGGCUAACGGAUGGAUGUUGUUUAUAUUAUUGAGAAAGAGAUAUACUAGGAUGAAUGAUGUUUAGAUUAACGGAACAUCAUAGAUAACUAAAAGAAAAGAUAAAAAUUACUUUCUUAAUUAACCUACUGUUAUUGACAUAACAUUAGAGAUAUAUAUCAGUAGUAUUAUGUUUUAGAUAACAUUUUAUUUGAAAAUUUCUUACUAUCCCUUUAUUCUAAUCAUUUCUCAAUAUGAUUUUGAAUUAAAUUAUAGUAUUAAUUUUUAUUUAUGAUUCUGCUAUAUAUAUAUAUAUAUAUACUUUUUAUGGUUUUUGUCUCCAUGCAGUUAUUUUGUUAAUAGUUUAAAUUUAUAUAAUAAUAUGAUUAUAUAAAAGUAAGGGUUAAUUCUAGUUAAUAAGAGUUGAGCCAUUUGUUUGCAAUAUAUCAUCUUUGAUAUUUUUAUAAAAACUUUAUUUACUAAUAAGAAGAUUUGAGUUGUUUAAUUUAAAGUUUUAAAAUAUUAUUGAUAAAAAUUAGAUAGUUCUUCUAUUUUUCUUUUUUUCAUUUCAAUUUUGUAUUUUUUUUUCAUAAUAUUUAAUAUUAUCUCAAGUGAAACUAUAAUUAAAAAAAUCACUAUUAAUUUUGUUAAUAUUCAUUGCAAUUAAUUCAAUGAUAAAUUUAGUUAAGUGAUUUUAUUGAUACAAAAGGUUAAGUUGAGUGAUUUUUUUUAUACAAAAAGUGUAAGUUGAGUUGCCAUCAGUUUUACUUUGUUCCCAUUUGGGAGAACCUCAAAUUCUGCUUAUUUUGAGAAUUGCUUUUGUUAGUUGCAACUCACAUGAGGUUCCUUUUGUUAUUUUUGCUCAGGUCUUGUUUGAUUUAUUUCAGCAUGAUUUACGCUUGUGGAAAGCAUAUAGCAUUACUUUAAAGGUAAAUUUGAUACAUUAUUUCUUGGAUACGUUGACUUUAUUUGUGCAUCUCACCGUGGUUUUCAUGUGCAUCUUCAGACCCAUCCAUCAUUUGCUGAAUACCAUGACUUGCUUGAAAGUUUGGAUGAAAAACUUUCAUCCACUUCAAAUUCAGAAGAGACGUGAGCUCUCUGGAUGUAAAGAGCUCCCUUGGUCAGCUUUGCUAUUAAUGGUUAAAAGAGCUCCCAGUGAGAUCUUCUACUUGAAGCUUUAACCGCACCAACUUGAAAUCAGCAUCAAUGUCUAAUUGCUCUAUUGGGAAGGGGGUUGAGCGGCUCUGCAAAAGGCACGAGAUGAGAUUUCGGUUCCUGUUCUACUUUUACCCUAUCUGUGUCCUGCAGAAUUUAUUUUGUAGAUAGGCAUAUCAUUGCUCCAUGGUCCUGUUUCUUUUUCAUGAUUUAUAGUUUGUAUCAAAUUUUAGCUUUGUCAUCAAGGGUGUAGGUGAUCGUAAUGAAAAGGGGCACCUCUUGUAUGAAAGAUCUGAUCUUCCGAUAAAUAGAGAAUAGAGAAGAUUUUGUGCAUUACUGCAUCACUCCUUUCCUUCUUUUUUAUUUAUUUACAGUUUAUACCAGAUUUCAUUGAGGGUGUGGGCGAUUGUAAUGAAAAGGGGGGACUCUUGGAUGAAAGAUUUUGAUCUUCUGAAAGUGAAUAUUUUGUGCAUUUCAUCAUGUGGACAAAUAAAGCUGAAUAUUUAUGCUUCAGAAUUCUUCACCCCAUAUUACUUCUUCUGAUUGUUCGAUCUAUGGUUCUGGGAGACUGCAGAGGAUACUUUAAGAAGAUAUUCGACAAAAAGUACUGUUAUCUUGGGCAACCAUACCCACAAUACCUAUUUUAAACACACAUAUUGAUUCAACCAGAAGACUGGAACAUAUUACAGGGCAUAAUAUCUAUAUAGAUACUGCUGCAUUCUUAUAGAGUCCUUUUAAGGUAGCUCUGGAAAUCACCAGGUGAAGCUGAUGGACUCGAAGUGCAGAUUUUCAACCAACCCAGAUGAGCAAAUGGCUGCUACGUCAUGCCUCAAGGUCUUCGGUCCAGAGGCAAGUACUCCAACACUUGAUCCUUUAACUUCUAGCAAUAUUCCUGCAAAAGAAUUUCAUUUAGUUACCAAGCAUAGAGAGUUGGGAAACGAAGUACUACUUAGUAGUUUUGAUUAUGCAAAGAUAUUGUAGUAAUUACUCUUGAGAUCAGGUCGGUGGCCAUAAUGUGUCUUGAUGGAUUUGUCGAGCGAUUGUUGAGGAAGACUUUCUAGCUCUUGAUCAGCAUAAGCUAUUAACGAGUUUAAAGAUUUUACUGAAUCUGCCAUGUCCUGAAUCUGCUUAGUUUCCCUAGCACUUUUCUUCUUGUUCCACAGGAAGGCUGCACUUGCUGCAAUUACUAUAGCAGCUGCUAUAAACAACAUGUUGAACAAAGCCCUUGUGUGGAUUGGGAAUACCUUAUUAGUACCAUGAUCCAUAGGGUAAACAUAGUAUUGGUAAAGAAGUCCCACAAAUAGAAGGUACAGAGCAAACGAAGACGAUAUUAUAGCAGCAAGCCAGAGCCAGUUGUUCUGGCCUAAAAUGGGGGUUAUGGGUGCAUCAGAGUGGUCAGGUUUGAACAAAAUGGUCCGUAGGGGUUCAGAUUUUUCUUGUGCUGGUUCAGUCUCUCUGGUUAUAUAAGCCUCAAUUUGUAGGUCAAGAUUAGAAGAACAUCCUGAAGGAGUGCCUGCUAUAGGAUGAAGAAGGUCUAACAUUGAGAGUUGUGAAGUGUUCCUGAACAUACUAACUAAUAAGAUCUUGGGAGUUUUGCAUUUCAGUGUUGAGCUCAUAUAAAUCAGCUCUCUGAUGAUUGAAAUGAAUGGAGCUAUUCCACUUCCUCCACUGAUCAACACCAAUGUAUCAUGCCUGUCAUCAAAAUUGACCACACCAUCACAACAUAUCAUAGUGGAACUACAUCGACUCGGAAGAGUUUAAGCUCUAUGUACAGACAGAGUAAAAGAUUUUCACACUGAUACUGUAAAACAUAUCUAACCUUAGGAAAUGAGUGGAAGCAGGUCCAUAGGGUCCUUCAACAGAAACAUCAAGACGAUUGACAGAGGAAGGCAAAGACAUGACACUGUAAAGCUUCUUAGUCCAACUUCCUUCACAUUUAAUGACAACACUAAUUGUAUCUGAUUCUAAGUUACUGUUUGAAGUUACAGUGAAUGGAUGCCACUGCAAUUUGGAUAUGCUUGGCACAUUUAGGAACAUAAUGCUCGUAGGAGCGUACUCCAAACCUACAAAUUAGAACAAGUAAAAAGUGAGAUAAGUAACCUGGAAAAUGAGAGAUGGAAUUGUAGCUUACCUGAUAUUUUGGAGAAGUUGAGUUCAAGAGUUUCACAAGUCAAAACUCGGGCUGAAAUCAAACGAACUUUUUGCUUGGAUUGCAAGAAUCUCAAGUAUCGAUCGAUCAAGAAGAGGAAGAAACCAGGAAGCAUAAUGCAGGCAUAGAACAUUCCAGUGUGGAGUAGGUUGAAAAUCAUGAAUAGAAUGUAGAGAUAAUGUGUGUAGAAGAAGAGUUCAAACAUUCUUCUUCUAAUUGCUGGAAAUGUUGUUGCCCAUAAUAUUAAUCCAACUAGUAAACCUAGUUCUCCAGAUACAUUUGAUAUGUAAUGUGGAUCCCAUGUCAACAUCUGCAACAAACCAAAACUAGCUAGUAAAUAAGAUAUGAUCAAUUAAAACAGAAGAAUAUUCGUCAACUGAUCAAAUGUGCAUAACUCAUGUGUAAUAUGUGUAUAAUCUAUGUAUAUUGGCUAGAAAAAAAGUCAACAAUGACUCCGGCCGGCUAUUUAUGUAAAGAUAAUCGUUGCUUACACUAAAGAUAGCCACAGAUGUAUAUUUGCAUAAUCCAUGUAUGAUAUGUGUAUAAACAUAUAUAAUCAAAGUAUAGUAUAUUUAUAUCGUUAAAGAAAAUAAACUACUAGAGCUAUAAGUACACUACAUUUUUAUCAAUAGUCAAAUAUUAUCUGUAUUUUGUGUAUAUUUCUUAAAUUUUGAAUAUCCUUAAUGAAAUUCUUGGUUUCCCAUUAUCACAUAGUAUUAUUUUGAUUUAUACUCAUGCAUGCAUGAAUAAUUAAUUAUAGAUAUAAUAUGAUUAGGUCAUUUAGGUGUCGUGAGUAUCUUCUAGAAUUUUUAAAUAGAUACCAAAAUGGAUGUCACAAUUGAACCUUUAAAUCAUUUCAAUUUUUUUUAAUUAAAUGGGGGAAUAUUCUAUAAAGUUAGAAAACACCAAACAGAAAGCAGAAAGUUCAAACAAAUAUUUGAUUUAUGUGGUCCAAAAUUCCACUUAUUGUGUUGUGUCACACUCAUGCCUAAUGGCUCUUGGAAAUUUUUUCUUUUUUGAUGAAUAAGUUUCCAAUUCUAGUGGAACUUUAAUUUAGUGUUAAAGACAAAGAGGUUCCCCACAUUUAACUGUCUCACCAAACUUUUAUUCCUUUUAUAUUAUUUUGACUGUGUUAGUUAAUCAACCAUCAACCAUGUGUUGUUUUUCAUUGAAAGUUAUGAAAUCUAUUUUAUUUUUUUUACAAUUCUUUGAUUUUAAUUUUCCAUUGAUAUGCUCAAGACUGCAAGGUUAAUUUUUUUUUGGUAUAUCUGAAAAAUAUCAGAUUCAAAAGUCGUCUUCUUAAGUUCAGUGUCAAGGUAAAAUGUGAUAAAUAAAUUGAAACGGAAGAAUUACUAAUAAAUUGAAUUAUUUGCUACCUAUUUGCAUUACGUUAUCUUACUAUGUACAAAUAAAGUAAAGUAAUACUUGUCAAUUUUGUGAAUUUUUUUCCCAAUUUGGCAACGGGAAGGGAGGGAUUUUGAGAAGUGAAUUUACACUAUUGUGUGGAUGACUUUCAUCGAUAUUAUUAGACUGAAUGUAAUUCGGCAGUUUAUGGUAUGAGUUUGUUUAUUGAGGGAAAAAAACUUAUACGGAAAUUAAAAAGGAAAUUUAAUCAUUUCUUUUGUCUUGUUUUGAAAAAAGAGCUUAUUUAGAAAUUGAUUUAAUUUUUUAUAUGAAAAGGGUAAAAGGGUUUGUUGAUAGAAAAAGGAUUUAAAAAAAUGUAAUGAUGAAAUCUUCUGUAUUAUUAGUUUAUCACAUUAUUAUAUUUUUGAUUGCUCCUCUCAUAAUGUGACAACUCACAUAUAUAGUGACCUUAAAAAGAGUGAUGAUACAUAACUAUCUAGUUUUGCCUUUAAGAAUUUGAAGCUUAGGCGCGUUCGAUGCGAAGAGAAAUAUUUUUUAUGAAUAUUAUUUUAAGAAGAAUAUGUGAGUUUUUCUGUUUAUUUAUAUUUUUAAUGUUUGAUAUAUAAAAAAAUAUUAUUUUAAAAAUAUUUAUAUAAUUUAUAUAAAAAUAAAUUGGAGAUGAGAAUAUAGUAGUAGUUUACCAGAUAAAUUGAUAAGUCAAACAAUUUCAAUCCACCAAAUGAAAUUAGUGAUUUCUUGAUUACGAUCAACCAAGACUAAAGUUCUAUUAAAAAGCAUUUCCAUGUGGCAGGGGUAUGGAUUGUUGGUAACGAGGUCUAUUAGGAUGGGGUAAAGAUGAGGUGCACAUAUUGGAGAAUGGGGAGAACACAAUUAACAUGAAAUACAAUUCAUGAAACUUAUUUUUUCUACUUGUACGAAAAAAUUUAUUUUUCUCAUUUAUAAGAAACUUGUUUUCCAGAAUGAUAUUUCUGAAAAAAAAAUUUACCAAUAUUUUUCGAAAAAUAUUUUUCCCUAUACCAAACACACCCUUCUUUUCAAAUUGAGUGUCAAGAUAAGAAUAAGGCAGGCACAGUUAUUACCAAACAUAUGCAUAAUAUGAAUCCAAAUUUUCCUUUACGACUUUAGACUAUGAAUGCAUAUAUCUUUUUUUAAAGAUAAUUUCUUUAAAGUAUAACUAUGACAAUAAUUGAAAGUAAAAUUCAAUAAAGGAUACAAACUACCCUACAAAUGUUAAGAGUUAGUUGUUCGAUCUACAUCGUUCAAGAAUAAUAAAAUUGAAAUAUUAUAUUUUCUAUUAAUAUUUCACAUAUUUUACACCACUUCCAAUUAUUAAAGAAAAGUUAUACCUCAUAUUGUUAUUCUUUCACUAUUAGUGAAAUUUAAGAUAUAAUAACAGAUCAAUUAUUAUUUUAUCAAAUUAACGUAUUAUGGAGAUUUAUCUGUAAUUACCUUAUAAUUUAUAAUUAGUAACCGAAUUAUAUUUAAUUUUUCCUCUAUUAUCAAUGCUUAAAACUUAAUCCCUUUACAUAUGAUGUAUUUUUGUGUUGGUUGAAAAUAAUCAUUCUCCACAAGUUGUUUGUUAUGGUUGUUAUUAAUGCUCACUUCUCAAAACUAUGAAAGUUAAAGUCCAAUUAGGCCACCAAAAAAUCAAUAUUUUUGUUGUGUUUUUAACAUAUGGUGGGGUUUAAUUUGAAACCCAGUGAACUUAAUAUUCACACUUUCUUUUUAGUGUGGGCAGUAUCAAAUGUCAUUAUUGAGUGGCAAAUCAAGAAAAUUUAAUGUGUAAUUAUCAUCUUAACGUUCUCUUGAAUCUUGAUUAAUUAAGUAGUUUCUUGUACAUCAAAACUCUUUUUUCUUAAUUCAUGUACUAAUGGAUGCGAUUACGCAAUAAUUGUUUACACAUCAUAAUCUUGAAAAACCCCAACACCACCCCCCCCCUCCCAAAAAAAAAAGAAGAGAGAUCUACAAAUUUCACAAUUUUAAUGCGCGAAAUUAGGUUAGCACUUAGCAUUAUUAGAAAAUCGCUAAUUUUCAAUGAAUCAAUCAUUGGAAAUCUCAUGUCAUGUGUGUCGGUUUUAAAAGGCAUGUAGAUCGUCACUUAAGAUUGUUACAGAGAAAAAUCUUAGUAUCAGUAUUUUAAAAAAGCAUUCUUGAGACGUAUAUCAUUCUAUAAAUAAGUUCAUAUAAAAAAAAACCUUUUUUCGCUCCGCUUAUCCUUAUUACCCCAUUUUAACACACAUUUGAUAUUGCAAUUAUUGAAAUAAUAUACUAUAUAUUAAUUAAAAAUGAAUGACAUAAUUACCUCAUGUAAUCUCCCAGAGACAGCCCAAAAGAGAAUAAAAAGAAGACCAUGAAUAGUGAAAAGUGUCAUAGCCAUAUGUCCCAACCAUAUAUGAUAUUUGAUGCUGCCUUCUGAAGUUAGUCCCAAAAGAGGCAAAAUUGAAGAGCAUCUACUCACUGGAUAAAAUAGAAAUGUCAAACAUAUAUUCCCUGUUAGCCCUAUCACUAAAGCCAACCUAUCAAUUCUUGCUUGCCACCUACAAAAUUUCCACCACAAAAAAAAAACUUCAGGUCAAGAUAUGGAAAAGAGUCGAGUCGAUCAGAAGAAACAAAACAAAGUUAGGCUGAAAAAGAAGUAGGCUAUGAAUAUCAUGAUCAAUCACAAUCCCUUGCCAAAGUUAAUAUUGCAAAAUAAAUAAGACUAAAAAAAAGUGAAAAAAAAAUUAAAACUAAAUUCUAUACAUUUUACUCUUGACUACUCAAGUAUUCAUCUAUAUAAUAAGUGAUAUAAAAAACUAAAAAAUAAAUUUACACUAAGGAUUUUGUAUAUCUUUAUAUACGUAUGCAAAAAUCUUAAAAGACAGAUAAUAUAAACGGAAAGGGAGAAACUUACACUUCAACUCCUUUAGUUGCUGCAUAAGUAGUAAUGGUAUUAUACUGAGCAUAGAGAAAUGCUGAGAAAUACCAAACACAUAGAAUAAUGAACAUGGCUAGAAAAAAUAGUUCUAUCCAUGUCACUAUUCCUAAUGGUUUGAUGAUUUUUGGCUUCUUCAAUAUCUUCAACCAAUCUUUAUUGCUGAAAUUAAACAACAAUAAAAAUAAUUAAAUAUAUCAUAAUCUCAAAAACAAAAUAAAAUUAAAAAUAUUGUUGUAUAUAUCAUACCGAUAUGAUGAAGUGACAAUAUCACUUUUUUUCUUCUCUAGAUGGACAUAAAAACAGCCCAAAACAGCUAUGAAUAAGAUUGGGAAUGUGAAGUUCAUCAUAAUGGUACCUGUAAAAUAACCACCAAGAAUCAAAAUUAUAAUUUCUUUUAUUUACCCUCAUCUCAACAAGAAAAAAGAGAAACAAAAGAAAAAAACAAUGAAGUCCAAUUUUCAUGCUGGCAUUAUUUUCUGUAUCAUUCCAAUUUUAUCAAAAAUUUCCAAAAAGCAAGAGUAAAUGUAGUUAAUCAUUUGCGAGUUCAUCCAAACUCAGUAUGUAAUUUUGACUUGAACCUUAUAUACAUAUAUAUUAAAAGAUCCACAAAAUAAGUACAAAUUGAAUCCUGUAAAUUAAAUGAUUUCUGACGAACCUUAUACACAUACACUACUAAAAACACGCAAAUUUCCCACGAAUUUUUUCCAAGGGAGCUCCAUCGGAAAAGUUUCUAACAAGCCAAUUUUCAAUUUUCCUUGAAAAUUUCCAUCAGAAAUUCACGUGUUUUUAGUAGUAUACUUUCAAACUCAAAUUUAUAAUAUUCAAAUCUUGAAUCCACCUCUAUCAAAAUGAGGAAAGGGAUGGAAAAAAUGGAAGACUUAAUUAAAAUUAAAAUACCUUGAAUAUCAAAGAAUGUGGAAUUGGUGGCAGCAACAAGAACAGGAACCCAUUUUUCAUAAUAUGUAGAGGUUGGCAUAAUAAUCCACAUCAUUAAAUUCCCAAGAAAUAUUGUAAGUGCUAAAGCUAAUAUUGCUCCUUGUAUCAUUCUAAUUUUCACAUCAGAAAAUGAUGAUGAUCUCUUAUCCAUCACCUCCAUUUUUCUUGUAACAAAUUAGUUUUUGUUGAAUAUUAG